UCACAUGGGUAAUGGCGGGCGCAGCUGGCAGAACAGAUAGAAAAGGGGUUUUUUUUACAAACUCCUGGGGCAGCUGAUCCCAGUGCCCCGCUGGAUGGCACAAUGAGCUGUAGCAGGAACCUCGGAGCAGCGGCUGGAAUGGCAAGGUGUGACCGACAGACACAGGUUAUGAUCGGUGGACAAAAGGAGGCAAUAAAACAAAGAGAAGGGAAAAAGGCUCCUUAAAACCACGGUAAUUGCCCCCCCAAGAGUAGUAGUGUGCAUGAAGAACCCAGAAAGGAAAAAGGAUUGGUGCAUUUGCUGCAUGCUACACUGAGCCCAGUGAGAAGAAGGGGGCACUGUGCCCUUUUGCAACAAUAGCCUUGGAAGCUGUCCCACCUCUUGGCCUGGCUGGACUUCUCCUGAGCUUUUGGGUGGUCCCCCACAGAAGACCCCUCUCGUUCAUCUACAACUGCCGUGACAGACAAACUGAGAUGACAGAAGCCUCUCCACCAGAGAAAAACCCGAGGAAUCCUCAUGUGAGAAAGGCCUCCCUCACACUCCCCAAGGACUGGGACUGAAGCCCCCAGCCUGGGGAGGUGCGCGGGGGAGGCGAGCUGACCAAAGCAAGAUGGAUGUUGCAGGUGCGGGCAUUGGACCACAAAAACAAUGGCCCUCGCCCACUAAGAUAUGAACUGUGUGUACCCCUUUUCCAAAUACCAUUUUUUUUACUAGAAGAUACAAUAGAUUCAGUUUCGAAAUAAUCUCCCUUCCCCCCAUCAAAAAGUGUAUAAUUGGAGUCCAGAUGAACUGCAUCUCUGAGAUCUCCCCAACGUAACAGGCGGAUCCUCGACUGGAUUGGACCUAAGGAUUUCGUCUCUACGUUUGAUAGCUAUAUUCCCCUUUUCUUUCUCUCUCUCUUUCUCUAUCUUUCUCUCCCUUAAUCCCUCUAUUACAUUUUGCUGUGGUCAUUCAAUAA